AUCUAUGGCCAUGUCACUCUGAAUGCACCUGAUCUUGUCUGAUCUCAGAUGCUAAGCAAGGUCAGGCCUGGUUAGUAUUUCGAUGGGAGACCACCUGAUAAUACCAGGUAUUAUAGGCA
ensembl:rRNA 5S_rRNA 5S ribosomal RNA